GCUAGUCUUUAAAUAUGUGGUCAUACAGGGAAGAUGGAACUCGUGCUCGCAAACCGAUCGGAAUACCUCAUCUGUGGUCUGUAUGGCUUUCUGGCACAGCGCGCACACAGGUCUUACACCUUCACCUGCCCCUUGGGCUUCCUUUCCGGGAGAUCUGUCCAAACCCAUGGCAAGAAAAUGCUACUUAUCUCGGUUGUUUCCUAUCAUCUAUGUAGUAUGGGAUUGGUUUGGCAAUACUACUCUGAAAGUCGUGACUAUAAUUCGUCCUAACUUUGUUUUAUUCAACUAAAAUUUCGAUACUAAGUUUUGAUACCAAUAAUGAACUCUAUGACCGACGCUCGCGCACCACAAUCUACAUUCUACUCUUUUUCGAUAUCUCCUUUGAAAGGUUUACGUUUAGUUCGAACGCGACUCGCAUCUACGGAUCGACACUGAUUCCGACACUUCCGACAGCUAACUCUGAGACCACCGUCAGUAAUUCUGGAAUAAAUCUCUUCUCUCCAUCGUGGAUAGAGUAACGCUCGAAAGCAGAAUAUCUAUGUUCCAAUGCGCUGGAGUCGAAGAAAACUUUUACUUAAUAGGAUGGUGUGAACACUAACGCGGUAUUUCCCGCAGGGUCAGGCGGUCGACAUUCGUCAUUCUCGCUCUGCAAUUCCACUGAAGGAUUUAGCCUACGUCGCUUCUAGUUAAUUGAGCCUCUUCUUGCUGACUGUCAUCUGGGGUCAGAAAGGAAUAACUCUGCUCCUUUAUCUGGUUUCCACUUCAGAUGACUAGUCCGCAAGGGAUAGCGAAAGCACUUUAACGGAAAAGGAAACUUUUGUAAACGCGGAAAAGAAAAUUUCUAUCUAAUCAUCCACGGGUCCAACCGAGUAUUUGAAUCUACCCUGUCGGGCCCCACGUUGGGCGCCACUUAUGAAAAUUUCUUUAAUCAUUUAAUAAAAUUAUCUUUUUAGUUAUAAUAUUAUUAUAACUGUAACGUGUAACGCUCGUCUACGCUAGACGGACAGGAGGGGCGAUCUGCAAAGGCGGGGCACGCUUUAAAUGUUCCGGCUCUAGCUCGUCGGCUUUGGGGUGGUGGUUCUUGCGCGUACAGAUCGUCUCCAUUUAGCAACACUAUCACGCGAUAAUUUUAACGAUUUAUUUUCCUAAGAAUUGAGCGUGCUGCGACUAUACGGUGCUAGAACUACCGGUAGAUCGACGAAAAGAUAAAAGAAACGCUCCGUAAAGAAUAGGGGAGAGUGCAGAAGAGAAGGAAGGAGAAGAUGAGGGAGAGAGAGAGAGAGGGAAAGUAGAAAGAGAGUGAAGAGUGAGGGAAAGAGGAGGAGAUAUCGGUUGCUAUCCCACGGAUGUCAGUGUGGUAGCUUAUUUUGCCCGCCCAACCUAUGACCAUCUUCCUCGAAACCGGAAGUUUCAGAUGGCCCCUUUAGCUAGAUCGCGGUUACACGCACGCCGGCACAGAGUUCAUCCUUUUGUAUCUUUAUCUAAAUUCCAUUAUAUAUUUGUUCGAUAAACGAUCAAAACUAAUAUAUUCAGCGAUGGCAUAUUUUUCUAAUUCUAGA